UAACAAUCUUGUCCUUAAGAGAGCACUGGGAUUCUGAGCUGUGGAAUUUUCCACUCAUUUAUUCUUUCAUUUUCCAUCUUCCUUUGCCUUCAAGUGUCAAUUGGCUCCUCUCAGUCACAGCUGUACAAAUCACAGGACCCCUUUUUUUUUAAUUGGCAGAAGACAUAUACAUUAUUCAUCUAUUCAUUUCCAUCUAAUGGAAAUCCAAAAAAGACAAUUGUAUUUUCCAACAAAACAUUUAAAGCUGCUUUUUCCCCCAUGAGAAACGGGACAGAAGACUCCAUCCAUGGUCUAUUUGGAUACUGAAUGAACAAAGUCUGGCUUCUCCUCAGAGUGAAACAGAUUGCUCCCAGCCAGUGAACUCAGCCUACUUUCUCCUCGUGUAAUUUUAGACUGCACAGGAAGCACUCAAGACUAAAGAAGCUGGAAUGUGCCCUUUUACCUGCAAUGAAAAGCCAACUGGUAAGGAAGUACUCUCUCUGCAAUAGCCAUGAGGACUGUGAGGUCUGCCCACAGGCAUGUGAGUGAACUUGGAAGCAGAUUCGCCCCCAACCCAGCCUUGAGCUGCCUGGAGAACUGGCCACCACCCCAGUUGCAGCCUUGAGACAGAAGAACACAGCAAAACCACUCCUAGAUUCCUGACCACAGAUACCAUGAGAUAAUAAAUGUCUGCUGUUUUAAGCCACUAAUUUUAGGGAUACUUUGUUAUACAGCAAUAGAUAACUCAUGCAAUUGGAGAAAAUCGUAUGAAUGCAUUUCAUUAAAUAAAAGAAGAAAAAAAACUCCCAUCUGCACAUUAAAAAAAAAAAAAUAGAAACAGAAUUCGCUAGCCUAUUUUUUUAAUCCCAGAUAAAAUUAUCAAUGGAUUUGAACCAACUGCUAAAAAUACAGAAAUGCAACACCUUCUAAAGAGUUUUCAAUAAUGAAUGAAUGAUUGACACCAGAGAAAAGAUGAAGUUAUUAAUUAAACUUCAAGAAAAAUCUGAAUAUAGUGCUCAGAGUAAAUAGAGUCAUGAUUUGGUCAAUCCUGCUAACAAACACUCCUGUUGAAAUUCUCUUUGCAUAGUAUCUUGUUUUGAUUAAAACUAGAAAUUAAAAUAAACUGAACUUAAAACCAGUCCUUCAAAUUACCCUAUCACAAGGUAUCACACAAAAGUUUUCAAAAAUAUAUAACAUUUUCAAACACAUUGCUCAUCCUAAUAUUUAAUAAUAUUUUUGUGGGAGUAAAAAUUUUAACUGUUGUCUAUGCA
ensembl:lncRNA